UACGAAGGGGGGCUAGCGUUGCUCGGAAUUACUGGGCGUAAAGGGCGCGUAGGCGGCUUAGUUAGUCAGGCGUGAAAUUCCUGGGCUCAACCUGGGGACUGCGCUUGAUACGGCUGUGCUUGAGGAUGGAAGAGGCUCGCGGAAUUCCCAGUGUAGAGGUGAAAUUCGUAGAUAUUGGGAAGAACACCAGUGGCGAAGGCGGCGAGCUGGUCCAUUACUGACGCUGAGGCGCGACAGCGUGGGGAGCAAACAGG
rnacentral:rRNA from 1 species